UACAGAGGAGCCAAGCGUUGUCCGGAUUGACUGGGCGUAAAGCGCACGCAGGCGGUCGCGCGCGUGGGGUGUGAAAUCUGGCCGCUUAACGGCCAGGCGCCAUCCCAUACGGCACGACUGGAGUGAUGCAGAGGUCGGUGGAAUUGCCGGUGUAGUGGUGAAAUGCGUAGAGAUCGGGAGGAACAUCAGUGGCGAAGGCGGCCAUCUGGGACAACACUGACGCUGAAGCACGAAAGCGUGGGGAGCAAACAGG
rnacentral:rRNA from 1 species